GUGACCGUGGCGGUGUAGGUGGAAGCAGCGGUGGAGGAGGAGGAUGAGGUAGCCAACACUGUUUUUUAAUUGUGGUAGCCCACAAAAUAUUGGGACAUAUAUAGAAAAAGACAACUAUGUUCCGCAGAGUAGCUGUUGACAUUAUAGUUGCGCAGGCACUUUGUUGACUCUAGAGAACCUCGGGCCAAUCGCACAUCCCCGUGACGGCGACUCUGCAUUCGGAUGUCAUCCACAUCAACUUUUGAUGCCAGUUUCUGCGCCUUCCAUAGUGACCAUGGGUAACGGGGAAUCAGGGUUCCAUUCCGUACAGGGACCCUGAGAAACGGCUACUACAUGCAAGGAAG